rnacentral:rRNA from 1 species
UGGCCUACCAAGGCAACGAUGGUUAGCUGGUCUGAGAGGAUGAUCAGCCACACUGGAACUGACACACGGUCCAGACUCCUACGGGAGGCAGCAGUGAGGAAUUUUGCGAAAUGGGGGAAACCCUGACGCAGCAACGCCGCGUGAGUGAUGAAGGCUUUCGGGUCGUAAAGCUCUGUCAAGUGGGAAGAACCCGUGCCGUACAAAUAGUGCGGUGCGCUGACGGUACCACUGAAGGAAGCACCGGCUAACUCCGUGCCAGCAGCCGCGGUAAUACGGGGGGUGCAAGCGUUAUUCGGAAUCAUUGGGCGUAAAGAGCGCGUAGGCGGUCUUCUAUGUCAGGUGUGAAAGCCCGGGGCUCAACCCCGGAAGUGCACUUGAAACUGGGAGACUUGAGUAUGGGAGAGGGAAGUGGAAUUCCUGGUGUAGCGGUGAAAUGCGUAGAUAUCAGGAGGAACACCGGUGGCGAAGGCGACUUCCUGGACCAAUACUGACGCUGAGGCGCGAAGGCGUGGGGAGCAAACAGGACUAGAUACCCCGGCAGUCCACGCAGUAAACGUUGAACACUAGGUGUAGCGGGUAUUGACCCCUGCUGUGCCGCAGUUAACGCAUUAAGUGUUCCGCCUGGGGAGUACGACCGCAAGGUUAAAACUCAAAGGAAUUGACGGGGGCCCGCACAAGCGGUGGAGCAUGUGGUUUAAUUCGACGCAACGCGAAGAACCUUACCUGGGUUUGACAUCCCGGGAAUCUCUAUGAAAAUAGAGAGUGCCCUUCGGGGAGCCCGGAGACAGGUGCUGCAUGGCUGUCGUCAGCUCGUGUCGUGAGAUGUUGGGUUAGUCCCGCAACGAGCGCAACCCCUAUCUUUAGUUACCAUCAUUAAGUUGGGGACUCUAAAGAUACUGCCCCGGUCAACGGGGAGGAAGGUGGGGAUGACGUCAAGUCCUCAUGGCCUUUACGCCCAGGGCUACACACGUGCUACAAUGGGCAGUACAAAGGGUUGCAACACCGCGAGGUGAAGCCAAUCCCGCAAAGCUGCUCUUAGUUCGGAUUGGAGUCUGCAACUCGACUCCAUGAAGCUGGAAUCGCUAGUAAUUGUGGAUCAGCACGCCACGGUGAAUACGUUCCCGGGCCUUGUACACACCGCCCGUCACACCAUGAGAGUUGGUUGUACCAGAAGUUGUCGGGCUAACCCUUCGGGGGUGCAGGCACCUAAGGUAUGGCUGAUGAUUGGGGUGAAGUCGUAACAAGGUA